rnacentral:tRNA from 1 species
AAGAUUUUAAGUUAACAAUUAAACUUUAAACCUUCAAAGUUUAAUAUAUAAUAAUUUAUAUUAUAAAUCUUA